rnacentral:rRNA from 1 species
UAGUCAUAUGCUUGUCUCAAAGAUUAAGCCAUGCAUGUCUAAGUAUAAGCAAUCUAUACGGUGAAACUGCGAAUGGCUCAUUAAAUCAGUUAUCGUUUAUUUGAUAGUACCUUACUACUUGGAUAACCGUGGUAAUUCUAGAGCUAAUACAUGCUAAAAACCCCGACUUCGGAAGGGGUGUAUUUAUUAGAUAAAAAACCAAUGCCAUUAGGGGCUCCUUGGUGAUUCAUAAUAACUUAACGAAUCGCAUGGCCUUGUGCCGGCGAUGGUUCAUUCAAAUUUCUGCCCUAUCAACUUUCGAUUGUAAGGUAGUGGCUUACAAUGGUUUCAACGGGUAACGGGGAAUUAGGGUUCUAUUCCGGAGAGGGAGCCUGAGAAACGGCUACCACAUCCAAGGAAGGCAGCAGGCGCGCAAAUUACCCAAUCCCGACACGGGGAGGUAGUGACAAUAAAUACUGAUACAGGGCUCUUUUGGGUCUUGUAAUUGGAAUGAGUACAAUUUAAAUCCCUUA